UGUCCUCUAAAUAGGGACCAGUAUGAAUGGCAACAUGAGAAAGUAGCUGUCUCUUUAGGUUAGCCAAUGAACUUGACCUGUCUGUACAAAUGCAGACAUAAAAAAACAAGACAAAAAGACCCUGUGAAGCUUUAAAUGCAAAUCAACAAACUGAUCAAUACAUUUUUGGUUGGGGCAACCAAAGAGAAAUAUAAACCUCGAAACCAGUCACACGGCCAACAAGCCAACUGACAUACAACAGACCCAGUAUUACUGAUUAAAGAACCAAGUUACUCCAGGGAUAACAGCGCUACAUUCUUGAAGAGUCCGUAUCAACAAGAAUACCUACGACCUCGAUGUUGGAUUAGGGUACCCAGAUGGCGCAAAAGUUAUCAACGGUUCGUUUGUUCAACGAUUAAAAC
rnacentral:rRNA from 1 species